rnacentral:snRNA from 1 species
CUUGCUUCUUGGCUUUUCUGAUAAGGACAAUUGCAGCAUUUGAUAUUAUCAGUUUAAUAUAAGAUCCGUUCUCUGAGGAUAAUAUAUUAAACAGAGUUUUUGAUCUGGGAAAUUGAUAGGAGAUUGCUCUGCCCACUUCACUCAUUGAUCCAGUGUUGCAGUUCUUCCGGGAACUGUGCACCCCUG